AUUGAACGCUGGCGGCAGGCCUAACACAUGCAAGUCGAGCGAGCGGCGGACGGGUGAGUACUGUCUGGGAAACUGACUGAGGGAGGGGGAUAAGUACUGGAAACGGUAGCUAAUACCGCGUACCCUCCGCUGUGCACCGAUGGGAUUAGAUAGUAGGUGGGGUAACGGCUCACAUAGUCGACGAUCCCUAGCUGGUCUGAGAGGAGGACCAGCCACACUGGAACUGAGACACGGUCCAGACUCCUACGGGAGGCAGCAGUGGGGAAUAUUGCACAAUGGGCGCAAGCCUGAUGCAGCCAUGCCGCGUGUGUGAAGAAGGCCUUCGGGUUGUAAAGCACUUUCAGCGGGGAGGCGUUACCCGCAGAAGAAGCACCGGCUAACUCCGUGCCAGCAGCCGCGGUAAUUC
rnacentral:rRNA from 1 species